rfam:Mucispirillum schaedleri ASF457 genomic scaffold acYAd-supercont1.2, whole genome shotgun sequence.
GGGUCUAUAGCGAAGGAUGAUUAGAGCGGAUGCCUGCUGCGUAGGCGAUAGUUCAAGUCUAUCUAGGCCCA